UGGGGAAUUUUGGACAAUGGGGGCAACCCUGAUCCAGCAAUGCCGCGUGUGUGAAGAAGGCCUUCGGGUUGUAAAGCACUUUUGUCCGGAAAGAAAACGCCGUGGUUAAUACCCGUGGCGGAUGACGGUACCGGAAGAAUAAGCACCGGCUAACUACGUGCCAGCAGCCGCGGUAAUACGUAGGGUGCAAGCGUUAAUCGGAAUUACUGGGCGUAAAGCGUGCGCAGGCGGUCCGCUAAGACAGAUGUGAAAUCCCCGGGCUUAACCUGGGAACUGCAUUUGUGACUGGCGGGCUAGAGUAUGGCAGAGGGGGGUAGAAUUCCACGUGUAGCAGUGAAAUGCGUAGAGAUGUGGAGGAAUACCGAUGGCGAAGGCAGCCCCCUGGGCCAAUACUGACGCUCAUGCACGAAAAGCGUGGGGAGCAAAACAGGAUUAGAUACCCUGGUAGUCCACGCCCUAAACGAUGUCAACUAGUUGUCGGGUCUUCAUUGACUUGGUAACGUAGUAACGCGUGAAGUUGACCGCCUGGGGAGUACGGUCGCAAGAUUAAAAACUCAAAGGAAUUGACGGGGUC
rnacentral:rRNA from 1 species